rnacentral:rRNA from 1 species
AUUGAACGCUGGCGGCAGGCCUAACACAUGCAAGUCGAACGAGUGGCGGACGGGUGAGUAAUGUCUGGGAAACUGCCUGAUGGAGGGGGAUAACUACUGGAAACGGUAGCUAAUACCGCAUACCAUCAGAUGUGCCCAGAGGGGAUUAGCUAGCUGGUGGGGUAACGGCUCACCAAGGCGACGAUCCCUAGCUGGUCCGCGAGGAUGACCAGCCACACUGGAACUGAGACACGGUCCAGACUCCUACGGGAGGCAGCAGUGGGGAAUAUUGCGCAAUGGGCGCAAGCCUGAUGCAGCCAUGCAGCGUGUAUGAAGAAGGCCUUCGGGUUGUAAAUUGCUUUGAGCAGGGAGGCGUUACCCGCAGAGGAAGCACCGGCGAACUGCGUGCCAGCAGCCGCGGUAAUAC